rnacentral:rRNA from 1 species
GACGAACGCUGGCGGCGUGCUUAACACAUGCAAGUCGAACGGUGAAGCGCCUUCCUUUUUGGUGGGUGUGGAUGAGUGGCGAACGGGUGAGUAACACGUGAGUAACCUGCCCCCUUCUUCUGGAUAACCGCAUGAAAGUGUGGCUAAUACGGGAUAUUCUGGGUCUGUCGCAUGAUGGGUCUGGGAAAGAUAUUGUUUCGGUGGGGGAUGGGCUCGCGGCCUAUCAGCUUGUUGGUGGGGUGAUGGCCUACCAAGGCGGUGACGGGUAGCCGGCCUGAGAGGGUGGACGGUAACACGGGGACUGAGACACGGCCCAGACUCCUGCGGGAGGCAGCAGUGGGGAAUAUUGCACAAUGGGAGCAAGGCUGAUGCAGCGACGCCGCGUGAGGGAUGGAGGCCUGCGGGUUGUGAACCUCUUUCGCCAGUGAAGCAGGCCUGCCUCGUUUGUGGGUGGGUUGACGGUAGCUGGAUAAGAAGCGCCGGCUAACUACGUG